rnacentral:rRNA from 1 species
CAGUCGCCGCGGUAAUACGUAGGUGGCAAGCGUUGUCCGGAAUUAUUGGGCGUAAAGCGCGCGCAGGCGGAUAGGUCAGUCUGUCUUAAAAGUUCGGGGCUUAACCCCGUGAUGGGAUGGAAACUGCCAAUCUAGAGUAUCGGAGAGGAAAGUGGAAUUCCUAGUGUAGCGGUGAAAUGCGUAGAUAUUAGGAAGAACACCAGUGGCGAAGGCGACUUUCUGGACGAAAACGGACGCUGAGGCGCGAAAGCCAGGGGAGCAAAUGGGAUUAGAUACCCGCGUAGUCCCUGUCUCUUAUACA